GGUAUCCUGUUAAGAGCAGAAAAGAGUGAAGUUGACACCUUCAGCAGGUUCUGCCUUGGACUGUGAGAGGACUUUCUGCUGGCAACCACCCCGCAAUGGUCCCCUUCUUCCCCCCGAGCUGCACCUCUGCCUUCUGCCUCUGCAGCUUCCCCAGCUUUUGAGAUGUUUAGGUAACCUUAACAGCAAAGCAUCAUUACUUGCAUUGCUGGCAGCACGACUGAGCAACCACGCCAUGCCCUGCGGAGGAUGCCAGCCAUGCAUGGGACAGACAGCAGGAGGAACGUCUCAAGGAUCAGCCGACAGCAUCAUUAGUCAGAGUCUGUUGGACCUUGCAUGACUGCACGAUAGGAGUCACAUUUGGGCAGGUCAGGGUACGUGUUGUGUGACUCUGCUGUGCCAUUGCAAAUUCCUGUACAUGUUUCCUUUUGCCCGAAGGACUUGGCUCCUCAAUGUGGGUUGCCACUUCCAGCAAGACCUUCCUCAGCUGUUCCAGCUGCCACACACAAAGUGCUUCAUCUGCUGUGGAGCACAGAACUGGCCGAUUGGUUGGAGGAAAAAAAUGUAUUUCUGUUCAGCUAGCAGCCAGCAUAACUGCUCUGUUUGUGCUGAGGCCCUGAGCUGCCCUCACUGCACUCUAAGGUAAGGUGCUCCUGGCAAGCUCCUUGUCCUGAAGAGAAAGAAGAGGAAGAAAGGAGCUGUAACUCGCAGACGUGUAUGAAUUUGUGUCCAGAAAGGAAGUUCCAGGAAAGGAAAAGGAGAGUACUUUUCUGUGAGUACAGGAAGACUGGUUUAGUUAAUGCAGCACCAAGAAAGUGGUAGAGGCACUCCUAAGAAGGAAAUGGUAAGCAGAAGCAGCUCAGAUUUCACCAAAGGUCAGCUGAAGAUGAAUAGGAAAUUUCACGGGAUGCAGAAACUUCUACAGAGAGGUACUGCAAGCUCUGGUGCUCUGGUGGCAUUUUCAAUGGACAGGUGUAAAAGAGACACAGGAAGAGUACCUGUCUAUUUUAGCCCACAGACUUGCCAAUAUACUGGGGUAAAAAGCACUUAAGAACUGACAUUAUCUCUAAGUUACCUGUGAUGAAAAAUUGCUCCAAUUCAAAUACAGUGGCUUCCA